AUCUCUGUAGAGUCUGCAUAUCAAUAAGCGGAGGAAAAGAAACUAACAAGGAUUCCCUAGUAACGGCGAGUGAAGCGGGAAGAGCUCAAAUUUGAAAUCUUCAAGGUUUACCUUGACGAAUUGUAGUUUAAAGAAGUGUUUUCUGUUAGAUGAGUAGUAAAAGUUCUUUGGAAUAGGGACAUCAUAGAGGGUGAGAAUCCCGUAUUUGGCUAUUCAUUUCUAGCUUUGUGAUACACUUUCAAAGAGUCGGAUUGUUUGGGAAUGCAGUCCAAAAUGGGUGGUAAAUUUCAUCUAAAGCUAAAUAUUGGCGAGAGACCGAUAGCGAACAAGUACCGUGAGGGAAAGAUGAAAAGAACUUUGAAAAGAGAGUUAAACAGUACGUGAAAUUGUCAAAAGGGAAGCGUUUGACACCAGUGUUGUUUUUCCGAAAAUCAAUUAAAGAAUGUGAUUCAUGCCUGUUGUAUUGACCUUAUCAGCUUUCUCAAUUUGUUUUCGAGUCUCUUUUGAAUGCACUUUUCGGUUAACAAGUCAACAUCAAUUUCCUUUGUCUGUAAAAGAGUAUAGGAAGGUGGCUUCAUUUCGGUAGAAAGUGUUUAUAGCCUUUAUACUCUACAAUCGGAGAGAUUGAGGUCUGCAGCGUAGAUCCUUCGGGGCUAGAUACACUUAGUGCUAAGUUGUAGCUUUUCAUAGACAACUUGUUGACUAUGUUUAGUCAUGCGGCUUACUCGCUUGUGCUAUUUUACCUACGCUUAGGAUGUUGACUGAUAUGUAGUCGUA
rnacentral:rRNA from 1 species